AGUCAUCAGUUGAGUGGGGCGAACUCCAGAGAAGUCCUACACACACAAACUCAGUGGCUCUUGCUAUCCCCACAUGGACUGGUGAGUGUCGUGGUACUUAUAGAAAAGAGCCCCCACAGUACCCAACACUGGAAGUGGAUCGUUUGAUGAUGAUGGGAAAGUAGCAACCGGCAGAAAACAACCAUAGAAUGUGCUUGUGCAUCAAAGGCCCAGAAUGGGAAUAGCGCAGAGAAUUUUAGAGUGAAAGAAAAACAUAUCCAUCCGUAGAUGUUGGAAAAUAUGAACCUCAAAAUCCACUCUUUGUACACCAAGGAAUAAAUCAAAACUGUUAUUAUGGCCAAUCUUUUACACACAAAUCCGUUGUUUUUCUUCAUAAUAUUAUUUUUUGAGGAAAAAUUUCAAAUGCUAAUUCACUUAAAUAAUUUCAUAUAUGAGA